rnacentral:rRNA from 1 species
GCUGUUCAGAUAGCCAUGCACGUCUAAGUACAAACUAAAUGAUGGUGAAACUGCAAAUGGCUCAUUACAACGGUUAUGAUGUACCCGGGAGUUCCGAUGGAUAUUUCCAGUAACACUAGAACUAAUACAUGUCCCUGCGUUUAUUAGUUUCGCACAGUCCGUCGCUGAGCCAUGGUAAACAGUUGAUCGACUCGACGUCCCGGAACAGUUUCCGCCCCAUCAGCUUCGAUGGUUGGGUAUUGGCCUACCAUUGCAACAACGGGUAACGAGGAAUUAGGGUUUGAUUUCGGAGAGGGAGCCUGAGAAACGGCUACCACAUCUACGGAUGGCAGCAGGCGCGCAAAUUACCCAAUGCAGACACUGUGAGGUAGUGACGAGAAAUAAUAAAGCGGGACUUCUGUUUCGCUAUUAUAAUGAGGAAUAACCAAAGGUCAUUCCGAUUAGCAACUGAUGGGAAAGUCUGGUGCCAGCAGCCGCGGUAAUACCAGCGUCAGUAGCAU